rnacentral:rRNA from 1 species
GCUUUAAUUUGAUCAUGGCUCAGAAUCACGGUGGUNACGUGCCUAACACAUGCAAGUCGAACGAGAAAGGGGAGCAAUCCCUGAGUAAAGUGGCGACCGGGUGAGUAACACGUGACCAACCUACCUUCGAGUGGGGGAUAACCUCGGGAAACCGGGGCUAAUACCGCAUAACCUCCUCGGGACGGAAGUUCUGGGGAGCAAAGGAGCAAUUCGCUUGAAGAGGGGGUCGCGGCCGAUUAGUUAGUUGGCGGGGUAACGGCCCACCAAGACGAAGAUCGGUAGCCGGCCUGAGAGGGCGCACGGCCACACUGGAACUGAAACACGGUCCAGACUCCUACGGGAGGCAGCAGUGGGGAAUUUUGCGCAAUGGGGGAAACCCUGACGCAGCAACGCCGCGUGGAGGAUGAAGUCCCUUGGGACGUAAACUCCUUUCGACCGGGACGAUAAUGACGGUACCGGUGGAAGAAGCCCCGGCUAACUUCGUGCCAGCAGCCGCGGUAAUACGAGGGGGGCGAGCGCUGUUCGGAAUUAUUGGGCGUAAAGGGCGCG